UCGCCAUCAACCUCACAUAGCUUACUCUUGGGCUUUCUUACAAUGAGCCGGUUCUCUUGCACUGACACUCAUGCAUUAUUUGUUGGUUCCGAUUUAAUUAUUUCGUGAUUUUUUAAUCCCCAUUUGACAAAUGUACCCCACUCCCCCAAUGUGUAAUAAUUUUGUACUUUUUAUUUCUUUUAUUGUUUGGUCGUUUAGUUAGCUACUAACACAAGAUUAAAAUCAACAAUUUCAAAAUAUCAAAAAAUAUGACUCGAUCCAACGUCGAGCAUUUUC
rnacentral:lncRNA from 1 species